rnacentral:siRNA from 1 species
UGAUACACAUUGAGGUCUGUC